UACGGAGGGUGCAAGCGUUGCUCGGAAUUAUUGGGCGUAAAGGGCAAGUAGGUGGUCCGAUUUGUCUGGGGUGAAAGCCUUGAGCUUAACUCAAGAAGUGCCCCAGAAACGGUCGGACUCGAGUACUGGAGAGGUGAGUGGAAUUCCCGGUGUAGCGGUGAAAUGCGUAGAGAUCGGGAGGAACACCAGAGGCGAAGGCGGGUCUCUGGACAGUUCCUGACACUGAGGCACGAAGGCCAGGGGAGCAAACGGG
rnacentral:rRNA from 1 species